AGCAGCGUGGCUCAGUGGAAAGAGCAUGGGCUUGGGAGUCAGAGGUCAUGGGUUCAAAUCCCUGCUCUGCCA
rnacentral:tRNA from 1 species